GAAAGGCGAGGCUCCUGUGGACU
rnacentral:piRNA from 1 species